GGGAGGCCCCGCCCUCCUGGGGGGGCCCCCCGCACACAUCUCCAUGACAACCAGCAGACACAGGGCCGGGCCGCGCCCUAGAGCCAUGGUGGAGGAGCCCAACGACACCAGCCUCCGGUUCACUGGUUCACUGGUUCACUGGUUCUCUGGUUCACUGGUUCACUGGUUGGCUGGUUGACUGGUUCCCUUCAACAGGCUGCAGAACGCUCAGAGCUCCUGAUCUUCUGGUUCACUGGUUCUCUGGUUCACUGGUUGACUGGUUGACUGGUUCCCUUCAACAGGCUGCAGAACGGUUCUCUGAGCUCCUGGUCUUCUCUGGUUCCUGGUUUCUCUGGUUCCCUGGUUCACUGGUUGACUGGUUGACUUGUUCCCUUCAGCAGGCUGCAGAAGGCUCAGAGCUCCUGGUCUUCUGGUCUUCUGGUUCACUGGUUUACUG
ensembl:lncRNA